CAUUUUUCUCACACUCCACUCCCUCGCACUCUCCUCUACCUCUCCUCCACGAAAAUGCUGCUGCCCCUUGCUCCCAUGGCCGGCCAUGGCCAUGGAAGGCACUCCAAGAUGAAGCUCCCUCCUCCCUCAAGCUUCCCCUCACCAUGAGAGCCUCCCUCUCCCUCUCUUCUCCCCUAACCUUUGAUGAAUCCAGCUCCCUUUCUCCUUUCCCCUCUCACAAGAUUGGAUCUUGAUGCAGGUGCAUGUUGGUCCAAGCAUGGAGAAGGUUGAGCUAUUCUCAGAUCUGAAGUUCUUGAGCAAAAUCCAAAUCGAGUGAUUCAAAGUUCCGCAGAUAGAUACGGAAAAGAUCUACAACUUGGCGUUGGUCUCAUCCUCAAAUUCCUUACGGAUUGUCCGUGGUGAAAGCCCUCUUCAAUACCUCCAUUUUGGCGGUGGUUUCACUUCGAUUGACCUCCUGAAACUGAAAUGGUUCACAGAUCAAGAUCUGGUCAGAUCUGACUUUGUCGAAUUAAAGCAGGAGCUUGGAAACGAAUUUUUGAAUGAAACCAGUUGGGGGAUACUUAGUUGUGCCAUGGUGAUACCGAGAGAGGCAACUGCUAAGUCGUGGCACUCUCAUACCUUUACUAGAUGCGAACGAUUCCGGAGAAGAAGAAGAAGUGGAAUUGGACAAGGAUUUUAUUUAUAUUGUUGGAAUUCUUAUUUGAUGAAGUUGAAGAAGUCCAGGGACAAAUAAGCCAAGGCAAGCCAUCUUUUGAUCUCUGAUUGGUGUCUAGUUGGAUGUCAUUUGUUGAUGUCCAAAGCACCUUGAAUUCUAUGUGUGUUGUUCUCUCUAUUUAUGUCAUCUAUGUGUGUGAGUGCAAGUGGGGUACUCCCUAGUGGUGAUACUCCACUAUUGUCGUUGUGAUUAUGGGAUGCAUGGUAUUAUGGCCGUGCUUUUCCACUUGGUUAUCUUGUAUGGUCAACUUGAGCAUGUUUCAUCUCAAGAUAAUGACUUACACCACAC